GUGAGUCAUGGGUAAAGCGCCUGGUUGUGGCCCAGGUGAUGAGGGUUCAAUUCCCUAUACUCGCC
rnacentral:tRNA from 1 species